rnacentral:lncRNA from 1 species
UUAUAUGUUUUCAAAUAUACAAAAUAAAAAUGCUAACACAUUUUUAUUUCGUCAAUUAAAUUUUAUUAAUAUUUUUGUGUUUUAAAGUGCGGAUCAUAAUCUAGUUCAUCUUUAAAAGGUAAUACCAUUUACAUGUGAUGCAAGAUCUUUUUGCUUCUAGAACAACUUCACUAUCUACUGGUGCAACCUUUCAAAUGGAACAAACCAAGAAUCAAGCAAAUAAGGUUUACAUGCAACCAAAAGAUUUAAGUACAAUAUUUCCGCGCUUUUAAAGCGCGGAUCAUAAUCUAGUUCAUCUUUAAAAGGUAAUAUCGUUUACAUGUGAUGCAAGAUCUUUUUGCCUCUAGAACAAUUUCACUAUCUACUGGUACAACCUUUCAAAUGGGAAAAACCAAGAAUCAAGCAAAUAAGGUUUACAUGCAACCAAAAAAUCUAAGUACAACAUCACUUUUUUUUUCCAAGGACUAAAACGAAACAAAUACAUCCAAGAAGAAGUUGAGUAUUGCAAUUAAGAAAAUUACAAGAACGGUAGCUAAUAAAUCAC